AUUGAACGCUGGCGGCAUGCCUUACACAUGCAAGUCGAACGGUAACAGGUCUUCGGAUGCUGACGAGUGGCGAACGGGUGAGUAAUACAUCGGAACGUGCCUAGUAGUGGGGGAUAACUACUCGAAAGAGUGGCUAAUACCGCAUGAGAUCUAUGGAUGAAAGCAGGGGAUCGCAAGACCUUGUGCUACUAGAGCGGCCGAUGGCAGAUUAGGUAGUUGGUGGGAUAAAAGCUUACCAAGCCGACGAUCUGUAGCUGGUCUGAGAGGACGAUCAGCCACACUGGGACUGAGAAACGGCCCAGACUCCUACGGGAGGCAGCAGUGGGGAACUUUGGACAAUGGGCGCAAGCCUGAUCCAGCAAUGCCGCGUGCAGGAUGAAGGCCUUCGGGUUGUCAACUGCUUUUGUACGGAACGAAAAGCCCUGGGUUAAUACCCUGGGGUCAUGACGGUACCGUAAGAAUAAGCACCGGCUAACUACGUGCCAGCCGCCGCGGUAAGAC
rnacentral:rRNA from 1 species